GAUGAACGCUGGCGGCGUGCCUAAUACAUGCAAGUUGAGCGAUGAAGAUUGGUGCUUGCACCAAUUUGAAUAGCAGCGGACGGGUGAGUAACGCGUGGGGAAUCUGCCUUUGAGCGGGGGACAACAUCUGGAAACGAAUGCUAAUACCGCAUAACAACUUUAAACAUAUGUUUCAAGUUUGAAAGAUGCAAUUGCAUCACUCAAAGAUGAUCCCGCGUUGUAUUAGCUAGUUGGUUAGGUAAAGGCUCAACAAAGCGAUGAUACAUAACCGACCUGAGAGGGGGGACGGCCACAUUGGGACUGGGGCAACGGCCAAACUCCUACGGGAGGCAGCAGUAGGGGAUCUUCGGCAAAGGGCGGAAGUCCGGCCGAGGAAAGGCGGGUGAGUGGAGGAGGUUUUCCGGUCGUAAAAAUCUGUUGGUUGGGAAGGACGUUGGGGAGAGUUAAAAGCGCACGACGUGACGGUAACUACCCAGAAAGGGACGGCUAACUACGUG
rnacentral:rRNA from 1 species